GUUUUUAUAGUUUAAAUAAAACAUUGGUCUUGUAAACUAAAAACAAUAAUAUUAUUUAAAAACU
rnacentral:tRNA from 1 species